UGAACCUGCGGAAGGAUCAUUACCGAGUUUUCGAGCUCCGGCUCGACUCUCCCACCCUUUGUGAACGUACCUCUGUUGCUUUGGCGGCUCCGGCCGCCAAAGGACCUUCAAACUCCAGUCAGUAAACGCAGACGUCUGAUAAACAAGUUAAUAAACUAAAACUUUCAACAACGGAUCUCUUGGUUCUGGCAUCGAUGAAGAACGCAGCGAAAUGCGAUAAGUAAUGUGAAUUGCAGAAUUCAGUGAAUCAUCGAAUCUUUGAACGCACAUUGCGCCCCUUGGUAUUCCGGGGGGCAUGCCUGUUCGAGCGUCAUUACAACCCUCAAGCUCUGCUUGGAAUUGGGCACCGUCCUCACUGCGGACGCGCCUCAAAGACCUCGGCGGUGGCUGUUCAGCCCUCAAGCGUAGUAGAAUACACCUCGCUUUGGAGCGGUUGGCGUCGCCCGCCGGACGAACCUUCUGAACUUUUCUCAAGGUUGACCUCGGAUCAGGUAGGGAUACCCGCUGAACUUAAGCAUAUCAAUAAGCGGAGGAA
rnacentral:rRNA from 1 species